UGUCUGCAGGUUUUCCUGCUCAUCACAUCCUUCGUGUCUACUGAUGAGGCCGAUCUGAGAGACCGUCCUCAAAAACAGGUGGAAGGAGGGGCAAAAACACAAAAAUCAAGGAAGAGAAAGGCCUUUGCAGGAUGUUCUUACAAAGUUGGGGCAUGUGGCUUUCCGAUCCAGUAGUGUCUUGAUGGAUGCUGGUCCAGUAUACUGGCACCAUGUUUCCAUUUCACUACCAACUGGGUGACCUGAGUGCUCAAAUCAACCCAAGAACA